GAGGGUAUGAUCACGCAGAGAAAUAGAUGCUUCAAGUCUAGGAAAAACCCUCUAGGCAUUCUAUAAAUUCAGAAGCAACGGAGGAACCAUCUCUCACAUUUGUGUUCCAUACUUCAUCUUGUAGCUGCAGAGAUUUUGCUUCCUUUGGAGAUAAAUUAAAUAGUAAUGGAUCCAGGAGGGCCGCCUGGUUGGGGACCGCCCCAGCAAGAAUCGGGGCUUUGCGGUGGCCUUUUUGAUGCUAUCGGUGCUUGCCUGAGCUUUUUGUGCUGCUGCUGGUUACUAGAAGACUGCUUCGGAGGUGCAUCCGGUCCACCUGGUCCUCCAUAAGCCCCUUUUUUCCAAGUUCCCAAACUGGGACUGCGGUCUGUAACAUUAAUUAGGGCUCUGCCCCUUUGUGCCUCUUGGUUUGUAAUGAUUUUCAUGUUCUUUAGACAGUUUGAUUCGCUUGUAUUUCUUUAAAUCUGUCUCACCUGAGGACGUUGUAUUCCAAUAAUGAUUGUAUGGGGUUCAAUCGCCACUCGGGCUAGUUGUCUUUUAGGGCUUUCUGCCCUCUGCAUUAUUAACCCCAAAAAAAAAAAAAAUUUGUUUUGCACUCUUGCUUCAAGGACGCCAUCCUCCAGGCGCAAUUCAAAAUCUAUCCACAUUUACAUCAA